rnacentral:rRNA from 1 species
CCCUGCCAUUUGUACACACCGCCCGUCGCUCCUACCGAUUGAAUGGUCCGGUGAAGUGUUCGGAUCGAGGCGACGUGGGCGGUUCGCUGCCCGCGACGUAGCGAGAAGUCCACUGAACCUUAUCAUUUAGAGGAAGGAGAAGUCGUAACAAGG